GAGCCCAAGUGGGAUUAGGUAGUUGGUGGGGUAAAGGCCUACCAAGCCUGCGAUCUCUAGCUGGUCUGAGAGGAUGACCAGCCACACUGGAACUGAGACACGGUCCAGACUCCUACGGGAGGCAGCAGUGGGGAAUAUUGCGCAAUGGGGGGAACCCUGACGCAGCCAUGCCGCGUGAAUGAAGAAGGCCUUCGGGUUGUAAAGUUCUUUCGGUAUUGAGGAAGGUUGAUGUGUUAAUAGUACAUCAAAUUGACGUUAAAUACAGAAGAAGCACCGGCUAACUCCGUGCCAGCAGCCGCGGUAAUACGGAGGGUGCGAGCGUUAAUCGGAAUAACUGGGCGUAAAGGGCACGCAGGCGGUUAUUU
rnacentral:rRNA from 1 species